GCUGUGAUGGCGAGCGAAAUAUAGUAGCGAAGUUCCUGAUUCCACACUGCCAAGAAAAGCCUCUAGCGAGGUGAGAGGUGCCCGUACCGCAAACCGACACAGGUAGGCGAGGAGAGAAUCCUAAGGUGAUCGAGAGAACUCUCGUUAAGGAACUCGGCAAAAUGACCCCGUAACUUCGGGAGAAGGGGUGCUCUGUUAGGGUGCAAGCCCGAGAGAGCCGCAGUGAAUAGGCCCAGGCGACUGUUUAGCAAAAACACAGGUCUCUGCG
rnacentral:rRNA from 1 species